rnacentral:rRNA from 1 species
AUUGAACGCUGGCGGCGUGCUUAACACAUGCAAGUCGAUCGGUAACAGGUGUAGCAAUACAUGCUGACGAGAGGCGGACGGGUGAGUAAUGCUUGGGAAUCUGCCUAUUAGUGGGGGACAACCCGGGGAAACUCGGGCUAAUACCGCAUACGCUCUACGGAGGAAAGCCGGGGACCGCAAGGCCUGGCGCUAAUAGAUGAGCCCAAGUCGGAUUAGCUAGUUGGUAGGGUAACGGCCUACCAAGGCGACAAUCCGUAGCUGGUCUGAGAGGACGACCAGCCACACCGGAACUGAGACACGGUCCGGACUCCUACGGGAGGCAGCAGUGGGGAAUAUUGGACAAUGGGGGGCAACCCUGAAUCCAGCGACGCCGCGUGGGUGAAGAAGGCCUGCGGGUUGUAAAGCCCUUUCGGUGGGAAGGAAGUCUCGACUAAUACGUCGGGACCUUGACGUAACCACUAAAGAAGCACCGGCUAACUCUGUGCCAGCAGCCGCCG